rnacentral:rRNA from 1 species
UACGUAGGGGGCGAGCGUUGUCCGGAAUUAUUGGGCGUAAAGCGCGUGUAGGCGGCUUUGCAAGUCGGGUGUGAAAGCCCUCAGCUCAACUGAGGAAGUGCGCCCGAAACUGCAGAGCUUGAGUGCCGGAGAGGGUGGCGGAAUUCCCCAAGUAGAGGUGAAAUUCGUAGAUAUGGGGAGGAACACCGGUGGCGAAGGCGGCCACCUGGACGGUGACUGACGCUGAGACGCGAAAGCGUGGGGAGCAAACAGG